CGGAAACGCUGGUAGCGCCGGACAGGCGGGAGCACCUGUGUUGAUGGGACGGAGAGACAGCCUGUUACCUGAACACGGUGACGACGUCAAGUCUGUGGGACCCGCACCUUCUCAACCCUCUACCUUGGGUCUGAAUGGUGACAGAAACAUGCCGGUGGUCCGGGGACUGGGCUCAGCUGACCCAGAAGAGGUGAAGAGGCUGAAGGACACCAGCUUCUUCAUCUGUAAUCGAUAGCUGCUUCUAUGAUUAGGGUUUUCCCAGCAUGACAACGACCCGAAACACACAGCCAGGGCAACUAAGGAGUGGCUCCGUAAGAAGCAUCUCAAGGUCCUGGAGUGGCCUAGCCAGUUUCCAGACCUGAACCCAAUAGAAAAUCUUUGAAGGGAGCUGAAAGUCCAUAUUACCCAGCGACAGCCCC
ensembl:lncRNA